rnacentral:SRP_RNA from 1 species
GCCGGGCGUGGUGGCGCACGCCUGUAAUCCCAACUACUCGGGAGGCGGAGGCAGGAGAAUCGCUUGAACCCGGGAGGUGGAGGUUGCAGUGAGCCAAGAUCAUGCCACUGCACUCCAGCCUGGGCGACAGAGCGAGACUGCGUCUCAA